CCGUCUGGGGGCCAGGGCUCCCUCACCGGGGCGUUUGAAAAAUGAGUCUCCUCUCCCCAGCUGCUACCGUGGAGCAUACGAUUCCAAUGCCUGAGAGAUUAUUUGUCCCGCAACAAAUGAACGAAGGAGCAGAAGAAGGCUUCCGCACAAGUGCCAAGAGCCUCAGAGAAGCAAUGGCCUGAGCUCAUGAAGACAAAGGCCCACUGGUGCCGUCACGAGUUGAGCUCAAGAAAUCGACCCAGAAUGUCAGGACGUCCCCAGGAAGGACGCUGAGGGCACAGAAGCCCCGGGGAGAGGCCCCUCCGUACCUUCCCGACCGCGCUGGUCCCCUUGUCAAGCUUCCAUCUUGGGGUCUGAAACCUUGAACACCAAUGAAGGAACGCACCUGUGUUUCCAAGAGGCUGGUGACCUUCAGAGUUCUUUUUCCGGGGGGAAGAAAUUUAAUUUAAUCUCGUCUCCUCGUAUUUGUUCAUGUUAGAUUACAUUAAAGUGCAACCGAAAACCUUAAGAUCCUCUCCAGAUGUCUCCUCAUCCGAGAAGCCCACCUUGACUUCUCUAGGCCAAAAGAUGGCUCCCUCCUCCAUCACAGUGUCCUGGGGGGACUGCAGUGACACAAUCACGGCCAGGAGAACAGCACUGAGGACGCUUGACCUGCACUUGCCCCGCGAACGCCCCCGGCAGCCGCAUCCCGUCGAUGCUGUCUGCGCUUCGGCAGCCCCAGCGAGGGA